AAGGUGGGACCAAUGAUUGGGGUGAAGUCGUAACAAGGUAGCCGUAUCGGAAGGUGCGGCUGGAUCACCUCCUUUCUAAGGA
rnacentral:rRNA from 1 species